rnacentral:tRNA from 1 species
GCGGGAAUAGCUCAGUUGGUAGAUCCAGACCUUCCAAGGUCUGGGCUCGCGAGUUCGAGCAUCGUUUCCCGCUCCA